rnacentral:lncRNA from 1 species
UGCUACCCACGUUUAAUCAUUGUAAAUAAAGGAAGCAGAGAAACCCAUGUUAUAUUUUCAGAACUGGCAUGCUCAAUACAGAACUAUUAGUUUAAAAAUACCACUGAACAUUCUAUUUGAAUUAAUCUAAGCUUCUGUGAAAAACAAAAUAAUAAAAAGUACAAUUGGUCAUUUAAACAGGUAUACUACUCAUUUCAUGCAGGUUAUUAACUUAGUAAUUACACAUAUCAUUAAAGAACAAUGAAGAGUAAAUACAACUUUAUAACACUUGGAAAACAGUUUGGAAUUGAUAAAUCUCCAUUUUGAAAUACCUGUAUAUUUUUUUACAGAUGCAAAAUCACCUUUCUCCGUGGAAACAAUACAUCUAUGAAACACCUAUACGUGUUGAACAGGACUUUUCAAAGGAGCAGCAACUAAUUGUCCCACUAUGAUAUGAACAUGUAUCACAGCUAAGCUUUUACAUAUGGUUGGUGCACAAUGCAUUUUCUGAGCAGCUGGAUAUAGAAAAGUGAUGGAGAAACAAGUUCUUUAAACAAAACCCAUGGAUCACAGGGAAUCAAUAAUGUAAAGAGGUUGAAAGAAGUAAUGAAAACAUUAUCUAAUAUUUUGUAUACAUUUGAGUUUCACAUUUAUAAGGGCUGGGCAAAUUCUUCAUUUUUACACACGGUGUACAUCAGUCCUUAUUUGUAUUUGUCCAAAAACAUGAUUUAUGAACCAUUUGCAAGGUUGCCAGAAUCAACCUUGAUUAAAAAUUGGUCCUCACAGGCGUCUUCGUGGAGAACACACCAAAAUUGAGUGGAAAGAACACAAAGUAAUAAUCCACAAUAAACACUAGAAUAAGGGCACGAUCCUUACAGCAAAUUAAUAAUAUUUUAGAUUAUUCAAAGGGAUUUUUCUGGUGUGGUACAGCCACAGUCAUAAUGUGAGGGUGGCGAAGUUUAGUCUAUAAAAUAGACUCUUAGAAGCACCAGGGAUAGAGAUACUUCUGCAGGAACUUUGCGCACAUGGCCAAGCAGAUAUUAUAUGUCUACAGAAUAGUCUGUUUCACAACUACAUUUCAGAUGAGAAUCACUGCAAUUGGUGCUCUACCACUAGUAAACUUGAAUCAUUUUGCAUUUCAUUUUUUUAAAUUUUUUUAUUUAUUUAUG